UAGUCCACGCCCUAAACGAUGUCAACUAGACGUUGGGCUCAUAAAGGAGCUUAGUGUCGAAGCUAACGCGUUAAGUUGACCGCCUGGGGAGUACGGCCGUAAGGUUGAAACUCAAAGGAAUUGACGGGGGCCCGCACAAGCGGUGGAGCAUGUGGUUUAAUUCGAUGCAACGCGAAGAACCUUACCAGGUCUUGACAUCCAGAGAACUUUCCAGAGAUGGAUUGGUGCCUUCGGGAGCUCUGUGACAGGUGCUGCAUGGCUGUCGUCAGCUCGUGUCGUGAGAUGUUGGGUUAAGUCCCGUAACGAGCGCAACCCUUGUCCUUAGUUGCCAGCGCGUAAUGGCGGGAACUCUAAGGAGACUGCCGGUGACAAACCGGAGGAAGGUGGGGAUGACGUCAAGUCCUCAUGGCCCUUACAGGCUGGGCUACACACGUGCUACAAUGGCGAUGACAGUGGGCAGCGACCCCGCAAGGGUGAGCUAAUCUCCAAAAGUCGUCUCAGUUCGGAUUG
rnacentral:rRNA from 1 species